GGUCUGCCUGCUGUUAUUGUCGGCGUCUCACUUUCCACCACCUACAGCUUUAGGAACCCUUUAGGUUAUCGACAAGAGCAGUUUUGUUGGUUGGCGUCUCUGGACAAGGCGGGAAGGUUUGAUCCGAAGCGGCCGAUGUUGUGGGGUUUCUUGCUCCCUCUAGCGGUCAUGUUGUGUUUUAACACAUCUCUGCUUGUCUACUUCUCUCAAACCAUCUGCUGUGCGAAUCCCAACCUCAAGAGCUCACGAGGGACUCCUAUGAAGAAGAAGAUUUUGAGUAGUUUCUCUCUGGCUGUGGUGCUCGGUUUGUCCUGGAUCGUUGGUUACUUUGUGCUCAUCACUCAUGACAAAACACUUUACAUCAUUCUCAGUGUGGUCUUCUGUCUCUGCAACAC